UAGCUAAUUCUCAGGAUAAGAAUUCUCUUAUAUGAAACUGUGUGAUUCUGUCAGUUUAAAUUCAAAUUUCAGCCCCACUUCGGUGAAAUUCAAGAUUCUGUGUGUUUUUCAGGUGACAUUGAAAGUUUGAAUGAAUUUGAGAACCAAAUUAUUUUUUUAAGAAAUACACACAAGAUUAAUACUUGGUGUGGUGGUCUGUGUGUUUAAUACAUAUUCUGAAUGAAAGGAAGAGAGCCUGAGUUAAAACUGUUUCUCUUUGGCACCUGGCAUUUCUUUGCAAGGGACUGUGUUAGGAACUAUAGUGUAAACUCUUGAUUACUUAGUAGGGUAGAAUAACUGUGGUUAAAUAAGAUGAAAACAGCAUUUUUAUGAAGAAAAUGAAAUGACAGAGAAAGGAAAACAUCUAUAAAGUUUCCGAUUUGCCUGGAACUUGGCCACAGUCAGUAAGUGUCACACGCCAUUUUUUGCAUCAUGGAGACGCCUUUCACACUCUUUCUGGUUAGCUGUAUCCUUGCCUCAUUGCAGCCCU
rnacentral:lncRNA from 1 species